rnacentral:rRNA from 1 species
AGAAGCUUGCUUCUCGGAUGCUUAGCGGCGGACGGGUGAGUAACACGUAGGCAACCUGCCCUCAAGCUUGGGACAACUACCGGAAACGGUAGCUAAUACCGAAUACAUGAUUUGUUCGCCUGAACGAAUUUGGAAAGACGGAGCAAUCUGUCACUUGAGGAUGGGCCUGCGGCGCAUUAGCUAGUUGGUGAGGUAACGGCUCACCAAGGCGACGAUGCGUAGCCGACCUGAGAGGGUGAUCGGCCACACUGGGACUGAGACACGGCCCAGACUCCUACGGGAGGCAGCAGUAGGGAAUCUUCCGCAAUGGACGCAAGUCUGACGGAGCAACGCCGCGUGAGUGAUGAAGGUUUUCGGAUCGUAAAGCUCUGUUGCCAGGGAAGAACGUCCGAUAGAGUAACUGCUAUCGGAGUGACGGUACCUGAGAAGAAAGCCCCGGCUAACUACGUGCCAGCAGCCGCGGUAAUACGUAGGGGGCAAGCGUUGUCCGGAAUUAUUGGGCGUAAAGCGCGCGCAGGCGGCUUUUUAAGUCCGGUGUCACAGCCCAAGGCUCAACCUUGGGUCGCACUGGAAACUGGAGAGCUUGAGUACAGAAGAGGAAAGUGGAAUUCCACGUGUAGCGGUGAAAUGCGUAGAGAUGUGGAGGAACACCAGUGGCGAAGGCGACUUUCUGGGCUGUAACUGACGCUGAGGCGCGAAAGC